UACGGAGGGUGCAAGCGUUAAUCGGAAUUACUGGGCGUAAAGGGCGCGUAGGCGGUUAAAUCAGUCAGAUGUGAAAUCCCCGAGCUUAACUUGGGAAUUGCAUUUGAUACUGUUUGACUAGAAUGUGGUAGAGGGUAGCGGAAUUUCUGGUGUAGCGGUGAAAUGCGUAGAUAUCAGAAGGAACAUCAAUGGCGAAGGCAGCUACCUGGGCCAACAUUGACGCUGAGGCGCGAAAGCGUGGGGAGCAAACAGG
rnacentral:rRNA from 1 species